AUGUCACAGCGCGGCUCCAGGAUAAAGCCACGGCCCACGCGUCCAAACCCUGCGGCGCUGAGACCGGAACGUGACGCUGAGACCGGAGCAUGGUGGAUGUCACAGCCACCGGUGGGAUUUCGGGAGCCACCUCCGGCGUGGCACCUCGCCGUCCCACCUGCCACCCUGUGCGUGUGUCCUCCUGCGCUGGCACAGCAGCGCCCUCCGGGGACGCGACCCUGUGGCCUCAUGCCACCGAGUGCGGGGGCAUCACGUUGCCACGUCCCGCUGGUCCACUGCUGGCAUGUUGUAGUGUUUGUCCCUGCAAAACUGUGGCGUGGCCACCACGGUCACCUGGCAUGGCCACCAAGACCACCUGCUGUGGCCACCGUGGCUGCUGUCCAUGGUGGAGCUCCCGGCGCUGCUGUCCCUGGUGCUGGCCGUGGCACCCACCAUGGUGGCACACGCCAUGGUGGCACAGGGCCUCGGAGUUUCUUGCCGGUUGUCGGAGGUCCGUUGGUACACGUGGGUGCAGCAGAGUGUGGCUGGCCACAGAGCCAUCAGGUGCUGGGGGCCACGGCCUGGCAGCGUGGGCAUGGCCCUUGGCGGGAGCAUGGUGGUGGCAGCGGUAGUGCUGGCGGUGGUGCUCCUGCUACUCACCUCCAACCCCCCGGUGACACCCAGCACACAGCGCUUCCACCUCCAUCCCUGUCCUCCUCCUUCUGUCCCUUCAUCCCUCCGUCCUUCCCUCUCACCCUUCAACCCUUUCGUUCCACACUUCCCUUAGUCCCUUUCCUCCUCCCAUCCAUCCCGUUGGCCGUCCUUCCCUCCCUACACUCUUUUCCUUCUCCUGUCCUUCCUUCUGUCCAUUUUUCCUUCCCCCUUAUUCAUUUCCUACUUCUUCCUGUCCAUCCUUCUCUCCCUCCUUUUGUAUUUGUCUAUCCAUUCAUCCUUCCACACCUUUGCUCCUUCUUUCCAUACCUGUCCUCUCUUUCUUCAUCCCUUUCCUACUUCCUUCCAUCCUUCUGA
rnacentral:lncRNA from 1 species